AGUCUUCUUUAAUUUUGCAAUCAUUUUCUUUUGUGGGAUUUUGGGCUCUUUCCAUAAUUUGCUUUGGAUUUUUGAGAUAUUUGUCUUUUUGGGUUGACAAAUUCUUGGUGAGGAGAUUGGUUUCUCCUGGAGUUCUCCUCACCAAGAAAUGCGCUAACCUGUAUUACUCAAUAGCAUUGAGAGUUUCUGAAUAGUAUUAGAGUAUACUGGUCGCCCAAUAUAUUAUAUGAGCUUCGUGGAGUAUAGAGCCCCUUGAUAUGAAAUCUGGUGCAAUUCUCACAGCAUUUAUAGUAUAAUCUCUUUCCGAAUCAAGAAGAUCUCUAGGCCAAGGUGUCCGAUCCCGUUGCACGUAUCUCAUGUCAACCUGUUACAGAGCCUGAUGAGGCUGCAAAACUUUUUGGGUGCCCUUUACCCGCUCAGAAGUCGAAGCCUGGAAGUUGUUGCCAUGCCAAGGACGAAAGGCUGUUGAGGUAUCAAGCAAUGGGUAUGAACCUUCAGAGCGAGAUAUCUCCCAAUGAAACCUUUCAAAACAAUCUAGAAGCUCCUGCACCACCUCUCACUAGGGUUUCUGGACUCACGUUGUGAAUUGACUGUGGGCAUGAACUGUUUCACGGUGCCGUGCUGUCGAUUCCGAUGAAGACGACUUCGAC